GAUCAUUUCAUUGAUAAUUUCAUAACAAAAGUACAAGCAAAGAUUCAAACAUAAAUGGCUUAAUAGCCAACUUUUACAUUUUUUUAAUUUUUUCAAAAUAGAAAACCAUCAAAACAGACAUGACAAAGACUUUAAACUCCUAUUCUGAUUCAGACAUUUUCAUAGUAUCCUCCUCAGUUGACUCAUCAUCAUUAGACUCUUCUUUUGAAGAAGCACUGUUAAUAUAGUUCUUAAUAAGCUCAUCCACUUUCUUUUCAAUUUUGAACACAGAUUUUUCAACCCUCAGUCUAUGGAGUGAAAGAAGAGUUGUCUUCACCAAAUAAAUAUUUUUUUACGUCCUGAGGCAUGGCAGAGGAGGAAGAUGAGUCACAUAUUAACUCAAAAGUUUGCAUUCUAGUGAAAGGAGAACAUUUAUCCUCUAAUUCAUCAGGAAACAUAGACAAAACCUACAAAAUAUAAAUUAUAACAUUAGACAACAUUGUAAUUCAAUUCUUGUGCUAUAAUGAUAUUGUAAAGUAUCAUAAUUUGACAAAAGAAAAAUACUUACAUCAAUAAUUUUGGAUGACAAAGAUAUAGAUUUUGCCCUUUGCAUGAUUUCAAAUAGUUCAAUCAGAGUAUAUAAGGAACAGAUAUCUUUAGGCAACCAACCUACAUCAAUAUAUAGUUCCUCCACAAAGAGAAGAUUGAUCUCAGUGGAAAAACAAUAUAAAUGAUAACCAUCAUAUUUAAAAUAUCGAAGCCUUGGUGUUUGAAGCUCAAAGACACAGUAAUCUUCAUCAAACCCAUCCACAAGAAAACGUGAUAUAUUUAAGUCUAGAAGGUUGGGGGUAGAGAUUUUGAAGGUAUUGAUUUCAUUAUGGUAUGUACAUCUAUCAAUAUGUAAAGAUUCCAAAUUAACACAACCCUUAAAUUGAUCAAAAGAGUUUUCCCUUCCAACCACAAAUCGACAACAGCAGAGGUAUAGGUGUUUAAGAGAAGGGAUAUCGAAAUUUUUGGUCAGACUGAGCAUGUAAGAAAGUUUGAGAGUGGUGAGAGAGGUACAUACAGAGAGUUUAGGAAGGAUAUUAACAUGACAAUCAGCAAAGAUUGUAAGUACCUGAAUGUUAGUGGCGAUGGAUGGUGUAUCAAUAACAUGGUAAAUGAUGUAAUAUACCACAGCAUUAUCACGUAGGAUGGGUAGAUGGUCUUUGUGACACUUUAAAUUAACAUUGAAAACAUUAGUGGAAUUAUAUCUGUAAAACAAAAAACUAUAUACAAAAUCCUCGAAAGAUAUAGCAUCUUGGUAUAAUGCCUCAUCGAAGUUAAUAACGGGCAGGGCAGCCCAAAGAUACCUAAACCGUUUGUUCAGAACUGAUGUUUGAACUGCAAUUUUCGCAUCCAAAAAAGAAAGGAUGUGUAGAAUAAUUUCCUUAGGUAACUUAGUGAACAUAUCUUCUUCCUUCUCCUUAUCUUUCACCUUAUUUUCUUUCUCUUCCUUUGAAGACUCUCUUCCGUAGAAAUUGUCUCCUUUCAUUUCUGUAAAGUUUUCUUCUCUUCAUAUUUGUUAGAAGUAAACAAAACAGCAUCGGUACAUUUCAAACAUUUAAAUACUGUUAUUCAUUCCGAAAAUGCUAACGAGAAAAAGUUUUCCGAUUCAGUACCUUUUGAGAGUAUAUCUGUUUUCCUUGCGCUGUGCUUCGUCGUUCCAGUGAGUGUUGUGAGAUUUUCCUAUGAGUGUGAGCGGUGGUGAAAAACCCUAGCAGAGUAUCUCUCUCUGCCCUUCUCUUUAGAAUUCUCGAUCUUUCUGCUUUGUCUCUUGUUAAGAAAGAUAUUCUGCUGUGGUGCAUUCUCGGUUUUACCCCUAAAUCUAAU
rnacentral:lncRNA from 1 species